GACACGAGCUGACGACAGCCAUGCACCACCUGUGUUCACGCUCCCGAAGGCACUCCUAUGUUUCCACAGGAUUCGUGACAUGUCAAGCCUUGGUAAGGUUCUUCGCGUUGCAUCGAAUUAAACCACAUACUCCACCGCUUGUGCGGGCCCCCGUCAAUUCCUUUGAGUUUCACAGUUGCCUGCGUACUCCCCAGGCGGGAUACUUAACGCGUUAGCUCCGGCACAGCUCGGGUCGAUACGAGCUACGCCUAGUAUCCAUCGUUUACGGCUAGGACUACUGGGGUAUCUAAUCCCAUUCGCUCCCCUAGCUUUCGUCCCUCAGUGUCAGUCUCGGCCUAGCAGAGCGCCUUCGCCACUGGUGUUCUUCCUGAUAUCUACGCAUUUCACCGCUACACCAGGAAUUCCCUCUGCCCCGACCAAACUCUAGCUUUGUAGUUUCCACUGCUUUUAUUUGGUUGAGCCAAACUCUUUAACAGCAGACUUACAAUGCCACCUGCGGACCCUUUACGCCCAAUCAUUCCGGAUAACGCUUGCAUCCUCCGUAUUACCGCGGCUGCUGGCACGGAGUUAGCCGAUGCUUAUUCCUCAGGUACCGUCAUUUUUUUCUUCCCUGAGAAAAGAGGUUUACAACCCAAGAGCCUUCCUCCCUCACGCGGUAUUGCUCCGUCAGGCUUUCGCCCAUUGCGGAAAAUUCCCCA
rnacentral:rRNA from 1 species